GCUACAGCCAUGCCACCCUGAACGUGCCGGAUCUUGUCUGAUUUCAGAAGCUAAGCAGGGUUGGGCCCAGUUAGUACUUGGAUGGGAGACCACCUAGGAAUACCAGGUGCUAUAAGCG
rnacentral:rRNA from 1 species